GUCGAACGAUGAACACUUCGGUGGGGAUUAGUGGCGAACGGGUGAGUAACACGUGGGCAAUCUGCCCUUCACUCUGGGACAAGCCCUGGAAACGGGGUCUAAUACCGGAUAUCACCCUCACGGGCAUCUGUGAGGGUCGAAAGCUCCGGCGGUGAAGGAUGAGCCCGCGGCCUAUCAGCUUGUUGGUGAGGUAAUGGCUCACCAAGGCGACGACGGGUAGCCGGCCUGAGAGGGCGACCGGCCACACUGGGACUGAGACACGGCCCAGACUCCUACGGGAGGCAGCAGUGGGGAAUAUUGCACAAUGGGCGAAAGCCUGAUGCAGCGACGCCGCGUGAGGGAUGACGGCCUUCGGGUUGUAAACCUCUUUCAGCAGGGAAGAAGCGAAAGUGACGGUACCUGCAGAAGAAGCGCCGGCUAACUACGUGCCAGCAGCCGCGGUAAUACGUAGGGCGCAAGCGUUGUCCGGAAUUAUUGGGCGUAAAGAGCUCGUAGGCGGCUUGUCACGUCGGGUGUGAAAGCCCGGGGCUUAACCCCGGGUCUGCAUUCGAUACGGGCUAGCUAGAGUGUGGUAGGGGAGAUCGGAAUUCCUGGUGUAGCGGUGAAAUGCGCAGAUAUCAGGAGGAACACCGGUGGCGAAGGCGGAUCUCUGGGCCAUUACUGACGCUGAGGAGCGAAAGCGUGGGGAGCGAACAGGAUUAGAUACCCUGGUAGUCCACGCCGUAAACGGUGGGAACUAGGUGUUGGCGACAUUCCACGUCGUCGGUGCCGCAGCUAACGCAUUAAGUUCCCCGCCUGGGGAGUACGGCCGCAAGGCUAAAACUCAAAGGAAUUGACGGGGGGCCCGCACAAGCAGCGGGAGCAUGUGGCUUAAUUCGACGCAACGCCGAAGAACCUUACCAAAGGUUUGACAUACACCCGGAAAGCAUCAAAAGAUGGUUGCCCCCCUUUGUGGUCGGGUGUACAGGGUGGGUGCAUGGGCUUGUCGUCCAGCUCCGUGUCCUGGAGAUGUUUGGGGUUUAAGUCCCCGCAACCAAGCCGCAACCCCUUUGUUCUUGUGGUUGGCCAGCAUGGCCCUUUCCGGGGUUGAUGGGGGACUCACAAGGAAAACCCGCCGGGGGUCAACUCCGGAAGGAAAGGUGGGGGACCAAC
rnacentral:rRNA from 1 species